UCCACUUCCGGCUGGCAUGGGAUAAACGCUUUGCCCCGCACAGUGACUACAUCUGGGAACACUGACAGAUUUCGGAUGUGCAACUUCAGGUUUAAAGUUAUACUUGGGUUCUCUUGCUUGGAUGGCCUUGAUGAUCAAGCCAAGCAAAAGGUGUAUUUCCCUCAACAUCAGGAGAAGAUAGAGGCUCGCUGUCCUGCAUCCAAGUCUCCACAGCCUCCCCAUUGGAUUCUUUCUAAUGAAGACAGAUGCCAGGCAGCUCUGGUUUAUCCAGCCACUCAAAGGUGUAACUGACUUCCCAAUUUAUUAACAAUGGUGAUUCAUUACCAUGACAAUUGGGAAGAAACUGAUUACCUUUGAAUAUCUGAUGAGGUAAUCCUGCCUCCUAGCCCAGGUAAUGAAUCACCAUUCUCCCUCCCUCCUUUGACCUAAUUUUCCAAACCAUGUACCUGUAUAAAAUACUGUGCAGAGGGGGGGGGGAGCAUCUAUUUAUCUUCCUGGGAGUCUCUCCUUCUGAAUUCAAGAGA